rnacentral:rRNA from 1 species
CCUACGGGAGGCAGCAGUGGGGAAUAUUGGACAAUGGGGGCAACCCUGAUCCAGCAAUGCCGCGUGUGUGAGGAAGGCCUGAGGGUUGUAAAGCACUUUCAGUGGGGAGGAGGAUACUUAGGUUAAGAGCUAGAGUAUUGGACGUUACCCACAGAAGAAGCACCGGCUAACUCCGUGCCAGCAGCCGCGGUAAUACGGAGGGUGCGAGCGUUAAUCGGAAUUACUGGGCGUAAAGGGUGCGUAGGUGGUUGAUUAAGUUAUCUGUGAAAUCCCCGGGCUCAACCUGGGCAGGUCAGAUAAUACUGAUUGACUCGAGUAUAGGAGAGGGUAGUGGAAUUUCCGGUGUAGCGGUGAAAUGCGUAGAGAUCGGAAGGAACACCAGUGGCGAAGGCGGCUACCUGGCCUAAAUACUGACACUGAGGCACGAAAGCGUGGGGAGCAAACAGGAUUAGAUACCCUGGUAGUCCAGCUGUAAAACCGAUGUCAACUANCUGUGUUAUAUANAUAUAUAGUGNGCNGCAACGACGANAGUAGUACGCCGCGGAGGUACGGUCGCGAGAGUAAACUACAANAGAGUAGACGCGUGAGACGUAGACGACGGACGACGACGAGGGGAGGAGG